rnacentral:rRNA from 1 species
UACGGAGGGGGCUAGCGUUGUUCGGAAUUACUGGGCGUAAAGCGCACGUAGGCGGCUUUGUAAGUUAGAGGUGAAAGCCCGGGGCUCAACUCCGGAAUUGCCUUUAAGACUGCAUCGCUAGAAUUGUGGAGAGGUAAGUGGAAUUCCGAGUGUAGAGGUGAAAUUCGUAGAUAUUCGGAAGAACACCAGUGGCGAAGGCGACUUACUGGACACAUAUUGACGCUGAGGCGCGAAAGCGUGGGGGAGCGAACAGG